UUCAGAUUAGUCGUAUCCUCCACAACAAAAAAGAGAACCCUAGAGCAAAGAAAAAGAAAAAAGAAGAAAAAAAAAGAGUUGUGCCGCAACAUUUGAAAGAAAAAAUCGCAGCAGCAGCUGCUGCCUUCUUCUUCCUUCAUAAACAACCUCCCUUAGCUCGAAAACCUCAACAAACCACCCAAACCCAGCUGAAACAACAUCAAAAUCCCUCCCUUUCACCCCCAAAAUCCAGCCCGAAAAAUAGCCCCCAAUACCAUCGAAAACCAACUCAAAUCAGCUGUAAAACCAACUGAAAAUCAGCUGCGAAACCGGCUGAAAAAUUAUCUCAAAACCAGACCAAAAUGUAGCAAAAAGCCAUCUCAAAACAACCCCAAAACAUCACCUCCUAAAACUCCAUUGAAACCAACCAAGAAUUAGCUCUAAAACCCAGCAAAAAUAGCUCUGUUUCCCAGUGAAAAUCAGCUGCAAAAUUGUCCUAAAAAUCAGCCUUCCACCUCCAAACACCACCGCUAAAGUUGUUGGAUCGGAUUGAGGUUAUUUGGGUCAAGUUGAGGUCCAUGUUGUGGCUCUCGGGUCGAGGUUUUGUUCGCAAUUCUGGUGUUAUCGCCGAAUUCCGUUUCUGCUAGCUGAACAACUAUUUUUGUUGAAUAAGAUCUUGCUCAAUUAAAGGUUCAUCCUCUACUCUACUAUUUCUAUUAGGCCACCCACUUGCUCUUAUUUGUCAUAUACUAUUUGAGAUGUCUCUGUUAGAAAUGAGUAUUUUAUCAUCAUGCGAUUGUUUGGUGAUUCGAUUACGUUGCUUGAAUUGGUGAGAUCUCGUUUCAUUAUUAUUGUUUGAACUUAAUGCGACUAUGUAUUGAUAAUAUUUUAAUUGUUAUAGUAAGUUAUUAUUAAAACGUUUCAUUAUAGGUGUUUUGGAUUUUAACAGUGAUAUUCUAAUGUUAAGGGAUUUGUGGCUAGGUGGGAUUCUGGCCAUUUGAUUUUCAAUGGAGAGUCGAUUUUGGACCAAAAAAUUUAAAGAGUUUUGAGUUUAAAAUAUUUUUCCAUACAUUAUUUUUCUACAUAGUCACGUUAGUAAACAUUAGGAAUAAAACUAUGAGGUGUAACAUUAACUCCAAUUUUUAGCAUAUUUUUUUCAAUAAAUUCUUGUCAACUAAAUCACACCGUCUCUCCAUAAUAUGGAUUGUGUACACGUUCGCGUGACAUGAUUUUAACGCCCAAAUAAAACGGGUUUACACACAUGCAGUUCGCUUCACAGAUAAAUCCAUAACUAAGUAAUUAAAAGUAGUAAAAAGUUAAAAUGUACAUAGGUUCUAAAAUAAGUAAUUAAAAAAUUUAAUUAAGCCAGGUAUGAUUAAAGCAGACCAUAAAUAGAGUCAAAUUUUCUCGACUUGGGAUUUAAAAUAAAUCGGUGACUUGGGACACCAUAAAAUUAUUCAAAGUGGCGACUCUGAAAUAAAAUAGAUAAUUCCAUAUCGAAUAAUAUCACUUAAAUUGGAAAAAAACUCCCUUAUAUCCCCUACGGGUAAAAAGGAGGUGUGACACCAGAUUCAGUAAAAUUCUUGGAGAUCUCAAAUCAUUUGAAAGACCAAUUAAAAGUGGCGAACAAGUUAGAAAGAUCCUUAGAAGCUUGCCUACAAUUUGGCAACCAAGGGUCAUUGCUUUGGAAUGUCAAGAUCUGGAUAAAAUUUCCUAUGAUGAGCUCAGAGGUGAUCUGAUUGCUUUUGAGAAAACUCAUCUUGAUAGAAAAUUCAAGAGAAGAAAAAAAUUGUUGCUUUCAAAGCAACUGUGGCUGAACCAGAAAUUGAAGAUGAAGAAGAAGGAGGAGAACAAGGUGAAAACAUAAUGCUCUCUCAAGUCGUGACCAGCAUGAUGAGACGAAACAUAAACAACAGAAGAGGUAAGUCUAACUUCAGGAAAGGAAGAGCGAGCAAUGAAGCUAAGAAAAAUGAUGAAAGAUGUUACGAAUAUGGAAAGUUCGGUCAUAUUCAAGUUGAAUGUCCGAAAUUAAAGAAGAAACUUAGCAGAAAAAUGCAAAAGAUGAAAGCCUUUGGAGCAUGGAGUAAUGAGGAAGAAUCUAAUCAUGAGGAAAUUGCUAACAUGCGCUUCAUGGCUCUAAGUGACAAUGAAGAAGCAGGGGAACUUGGGCUAAUGACAGACAUCAACGAUGAGAAAGACGACUCAAGAGAACCUCUUUCAAUGUCAGAUGAGGAACUAGUGAACUACGUACUCCUUUAUACCCUAAUUGUCAUGAACUUCAAGAAUUUGUUAAUAUUGCCCUUGCAGAUAUAGAAAGAGUAGUAAAUGAGCUCAGAAAAGUCAAGAGAGAAGAGAGACUGGGCCCUAAAACUAGAAGUAUGCAAAAUUGAACGCGAUAUAUUUCAAGAAAAAGUAAAUGAACUCAAGGUUCAAUUGAAUGGAUUGCAAAGGACCUCAAAUCACAGUUCAGUCAAGUCUCAACAGACUGUUCAUCAGAAAAAGAAAAUGGCUUGUUCCUUUUGUGGAAAAAAUGGCCAUAACACUAAUAAUCGCAGGAACAGAAUUAGAGCUAAGAGUAGUUUUGAUAACUCUAACAACUUAUCUUGCUUCUACUGUGGCAAAAGAGGUCAUACCUCAAAUUAUUGCAGGUUCAAAAAUAACAAAAGAUGGGUCUGGAGACCAAAAUCUUCAAAUCAAACUAACACUCAGAAGUCUAACCAUUCAGGACCCAAGCAGGCUUGGGUACCUAAAAAUAAGUAAUCUUGUUUUGCAAGAACACUGCAAGAAAAAUAGAAAAGGAAAAUGGUAUCUCGGCAACACGUGUUCCAGACAUAUGACGAGUGACAAAUAAUUGUUCAAAUCAGUCACCAAGAUAGAUGGAGGAAUAGUUACAUUUGGUGACAAAUCCAAAGAAAAUGUUACUGGUGUUGGAAAAGUUCCUUUAAGCUCAACAUGUGAUGUAGAUGGAGUCUACUUAGUUGAUUAACUUGGCUAUAACCUUCUCAGUAUCAGUCAAUUGUGUGAUAAUGAUUAUGAGGUUCAUUUUAAGAAACAUGGAUGGUUUAUAGAAGACGAAUCAGGUAAUAUCAUUCUCUCAAGAAAUAGGAACAGAAAUGUCUAUACUAUCAAAAACUUAGAAAACUUUGGGGAUCAAAUUUGCCUUACUUCUAUUAUUGAAGAUCCCUAGGUUUGGCAUAGAAAACUUGGCCAUACAAGCAUGAAUACUAUUCAAAAAAAUUUCAAACAUGAUCUUGUUAUUGGUCUUCCAAAACUAAAUUUUUUAAAAGAUCAUAUAUGUGAUGCAUGUCAAUUAGGGAAACAAGCACGAUCCUCUUUCAAAGUCAAAAACAUUGUUUCUACCUCUAAACCUCUUCAAUUGCUGCAUAUGAAUUUAUUUGGUCCUACUAGAACUGCUAGUAUAGGAGGUAAGAAAUAUGUUUUUGUUAUUGUAGAUGAUUUCUCUAGAUUUACAUGUGUUAUGUUUCUUAGUCAUAAAGAUGAUGCUCUAAAGAAUUUUGAAGUUUUCUGUAAGAAGGUUCAACGAGAAAAAGGAUACUAUAUCUCCACCAUCAGAAGUGACCAUGGAGGAAAAUUUGAAAGCAGAACUUUUGAAAAUUUUGCAAUGAUCAAGGAAUCUCUCAUAACUUCUCAUCGCCAAGAUCCCCUCAACAAAAUGGAGUAAUAGAACGUAAAAACAGAACCUUGCAGGAUAUGGCAAGAAGUAUGAUCGUGGAAAACUCUCUACCUCAUAAUUUCAAGGCAGAAGCUGUAAGUACAACAUGUUAUAUCAUUAACAGAUGUCUUAUUCGGCCAAUUCUUAAAAAGACUCCCUAUGAACUGUGGAACGGUAAGAAACCAAACAUUAGUUAUUUCCACCCUUUCAGAUGCAAAUAUUUCAUUCAUAACAAUGGAAAGGAUAAUUUGGGUAAGUUUGAUCGAAAGAGUGAUGAAGGUAUAUUUUUGGGUUACUCUCCCUCAAAUAGAGCUUACAGAGUUUACAACAAGAGAACCUUAUGUAUUGAAGAAUUUAUUCAUGUUAUUUUUGUUGAUACUAACCCUCGCCCAAAGAAUGAACAUAUCCUGAAGAUGAGGAAAUUUCUUGUGCUACAAAAUCUGUUCUUGUAGGUAAGGAUCAUCAAAAUGAGUCAACUAAUCUACAAAAUCAACCAGCUGAAAUUCCUCCAGAAGAAUGUGACUUACCUCAACCAGAUCAGUCGACUAUCGAAGAAAAUGUGACUUCAGCAAAUACUCCAAAUGAAUGGAAGAUUGAACCAGGAUAUCCUCAUAAGUUCAUUAUAGGAGAUCCACAGGAGGGAAUAACUACAAGGAGAUCUCAAAAGAACAAAUCUCAUGUAUCUCUCAUUUCUCAAAUUGAGCCCAAGAAAGUGGAUGAAGCUUUAAAGGAUUCUCAUUGGAUUGAUACUAUGAAAGAAGAAUUAGAUCAAUUUGAGUGAAACAAAGUCUGGAAACUUGUUCCAAAGCCUCAAAAUUCAUCUGUCAUUGGAACUAAGUGGGUUUUCAGAAAUAAAUUGAAUUAAUCAGGUCAAGUUGUUCGGAAUAAAACAAGACUGGUGGCUCAAGGUUACUCUCAAUAGGAAGGAAUCGACUAUGAUGAAACAUUUGCACCUGUAGCAAGAUUUGGAUCCAUCCGAAUUCUACUUGCUUUCGCUGCUCACAAAGGAUUGAAAUUAUUUCAAAUGGAUGUUAAAAGUACGUUCCUAAAUAUCUAUAUCUUUGAAGAAUUAUACGUGAACCAACCUCCUGGCUUUGCAAAUACCAAUUUUUCAAACCAUAUAUACAAGCUGACUAAAGCCCCGUAUGGUCUCAAACAAGCUCCACGAGCAUGAUAUGAAAGGUUGAGCUCUUUUCUUCUAAAUCAAGGUUUCAAACGAGGUAACAUCGAUACAACUCUUUUUAUUAAGCAAUCCAAUUCAGGUAAUCUUAUUACUCAAAUUUAUGUAGAUGACAUUAUCUUUGGUAGCCCUAACUUAGUUCUUUGUGAAGAAUUUGCACUUUCCAUGAAAGGUAAAUUUGAAAUGAGCAUGAUGGUAGAACUGACAUUCUUCCUUGGACUUCAAAUCAAGCAAUCCCCUAAAUGAAUUUUCAUAAGCCAAACCAAGUAUACCAAGGAGCUCAUUAAGAAAUUUGGGAUGGAAAAUGAUAAAGCUAUUAGCACUCCAAUGAGUCCAACUACCGUGCUAGAUGAAGACAGCAAUGGAAAAAUGGUUCAUGAAACCAUUUAUAGAGGGAUGAUUGAAUCUUUACUUUAUAUAACUACUAGUCGAUCAGAUAUUAUGUUUAGUAUUUGUAAUUGUGCUAGAUUUCAUUUGGCUCCUAAGGAAUCCCAUCUUACCGCUGUUAAACGCAUUAUUAGAUAUUUAAUUGGUACUCCUGAGUUCAGAUUAUGGUAUGAUCACUCUAACAAUUUCUCUCUGAGAGGCUUUUCAGAUGUUGAUUUUGCAGGAGACAAGAUUGAUAUGAAGAGUACCAGCGGGACAUGUCAAUUGCUAGGAAAUUAUUAGUAUCUUGGCAUAGCAAGAAAUAAAAUUGUGUUGUGCUAUCAACUACUGAGGCAGAAUACCUAGCUGUUGGAAGCUGUUGUACACAAGUCCUAUGGAUCAUGCACCAACUUCUUGAUUAUGAUUUUCUCUUACUUCUACUCCUAUUUUUUGUGACAAUACUAGUGCUAUCUACUUAUCUAAAAAUUCUGUGCAACAUUCUAGAGCAAAAUAUAUAGAAAUUAAAUAUUAUUUUAUUCGUGAUCAUGUAGCAAAAGGUGAUAUUACUUUAGAAUUCAUUAGUACUGAUUCUUAACUUGCUGAUAUUUUUACAAAACUGCUUUUGGAAGAAAGAUUCCGCACUUUUCAAAAAAGAUUGGCAUUGUGCCAAAUUUGUAAAUUAAAUAUUUCCUUAAGUAUUCAAAUUAUUUUACAUGCUUUCAGAAUAUUUUUUUCCUUAAUUAUAUGUGUUCUAAUUAAUUUUCUGUGUAAGUGCAAUUAUUACAUGUACCGCCGAUUAGUCACUUCUGAACCUACACUUUUGUCUGCACUUAACCCUUCCAGUAACCAAGAUGCCUCUUCACUCCUCUAAAUCUCAUCAAUAAAAACUCUCCAUCUCCAACACUUCUCUCAUUCACUACCAACCAACUCCUCUCACUAUGGCCAAAAGAAAUCCCUCCUCUACAACCAGACACAGUCGAAGGUUUCAAAAACCUCUCAACACUGAAGAACCUGUGGAUGUGGAGUCAUCCAUUGACUCAGAUUUUCUCAGAACUGACAACGAUAACAAUGCCUUAUCUAAAAAUUAUCCUAUCAGCCAGAAAAAGGAUGGCAAGAGGCCCAUGGAGCAAACCCCCAAAAAGGCUGUAUGCAAGAAGGGCAAGGUUUAAUAUUUGGAGUUUGGUCUUGAAGACAAGCUAAUCUUCUAUGGCCCUAGUGAAAAGGUGAGGUUUUAGUCCUACAAGUCAAAAUCCAUGGCUUAUGGAUGCUCUGCAAGUCUUUAUCUUAUGAAAAGCCUUCAUUGUGAUGUGACUACAAUUUUCGAUUUUCAACACCUUUCCCAUUUAUUUGACGCUCUUGGAAAUACUGUGUAUGAAGAACCUAUGCGAAUGUUUUAUGCAAAUCUGUUUGUGUAUAUGAUUUGGAAUCUAUGGUUUUAGGGACUAGAAUUGUUUUGGGCUCCUACCAAUUUGAAAAGAUCUUUUCCGCAAAGUUUAGUGGGGAUGAUGAGUUUGUCCAAAAUUCUUAGCCCAAAGACUUUGAAGUGUCCUUUAAUAAAGCAAAAAGUUUUCUGUCUGAUAACCCCCUUGACAUUGGCCCCAAAAAUCUUAAGUUUGAACACCGUGUCUUGGCCCAUAUGAUUGCCACCACUCUCCUUCCCAGAUCUGGGUCCCUUAGUUCCUUGUCCAUUAGAGAUGUUUUUAUCCUCUAUUGUCUGGUUAAUAGUAAGCGACUUGACUGGUUUGUGUGGAUUCGUCAAUAUAUGCUUGAGAGUAUAAGGGAUAUUUCCUCUUCUGAUGCAUGUCUACCCUAUGGUCUUCUUAUCUCUCAUAUUCUGGAAGUUAUGAAAGUAGACUUGACACCCUUUUCAUCCAAGCACAUCUCCAGUACUUAUGAUAAGACUGCUUUUUCUAUGAUAGGGUACACUCUGGGUAAUGAUGGAUGGUUUAAGA
rnacentral:lncRNA from 1 species